CCGCGACGUCACAGCAGUCGACGGUACUGAAAAGAGCUUGCUCUUCUGCAGACGAGUGACGGACGGGUGAGUCAUGUUUGGGAAUCUGCCUUAUGGAGGGGGAUAACCACGGGAAACUGUGGCUAAUAUCGCGUAGUAUCGAGAGAUUUAAAGUGUGGGAUCUUCGGACCACAUGCCAUAAGAUGAGCCCAAGUGAGAUUAGCUAGUAGGUAAGGUAAUGGCUUACCUAGGCGACGAUCUCAAGCUGGUCUGAGAGGAUGAUCAGCCACACUGGAACUGAGACACGGUCCGGACUCCUAUGGGAGGCAGCAGUGGGGAAUAUUGCACAAUGGGGGAAACCCUGAUGCAGCCAUGCCGCGUGAAUGAAGAAGGCCUUAGGGUUGUAAAGUUCUUUCGGUAAUGAGGAAGGCUUAGGUUCUAACAGGACUUAAGAUUGACGUUAGUUACAGAAGAAGCACCGGCUAACUCCGUGCCAGCAGCCGCGGUAAUACGGAGGGUGCGAGCGUUAAUCGGAAUUACUGGGCGUAAAGGGUACGCAGGCGGAUAAUUAAGUGAGAUGUGAAAUCCCCGAGCUUAACUUGGGAGCUGCAUUUCAUACUGGUUAUCUAGAGUAUUGAAGAGAGGGGUAGAAUUCCAUGUGUAGCUGUGAAAUGCGUAGAGAUGUGGAGGAAUGCCAGUGGCGAAUGCGGCCCCUUGGUCAAAUACUGACGUUCAUGUACGAAAGCGUUGGGAGCAAACAGGAUUAGAUACCCUGGUAGUCCACACUGUAGACGAUGUCGAUUUGAAGGUUGGGCUUAAGUCUGGCUUUCGAAGCUAACGCAAUAAAUCGACCGCCUGGGGAGUACGGCCGCAAGGUUAAAACUCAAAUGAAUUGACGGGGGCCCGCACAAGCGGUGGAGCAUGUGGUUUAAUUCGAUGCAACGCGAAGAACCUUACCUACUCUUGACAUCCAGAGAAUCCUUCAGAGAUGAGGGAGUGCCUUCGGGAACUCUGAGACAGGUGCUGCAUGGCUGUCGUCAGCUCGUGUUGUGAAAUGUUGGGUUAAGUCCCGCAACGAGCGCAACCCUUAUCCUUUGUCGCCAGCACGUUAUGGUGGGAACUCAAAGGAGACUGCCGGUGAUAAGCCGGAGGAAGGUGGGGACGAGGUCAAGUCAUCAUGGCCCUUACUAGUAGGGCUACACACGUGCUACAAUGGUAAAUACAGAGGGCAGCAAGAGCGCGAGCUGGAGCAAAUCCCACAAAGUUUAUCGUCGUCCGGAUUGGAGUCUGCAACUUGACUCCAUGAAUUCGGAAUCGCUAGUGGACGCGAAUCAGAAUGUCGCGGUGAAUACGUUCCCUUACAGGGACACACCGCCCGUCACACCAUGGGAGUGGGUUGUACCAGAAGUGAUAGCUAACCUCGGAGAUGUACCUCCCAAACCAUCUGG
rnacentral:rRNA from 1 species